GGGCGGCGGGCCCCGCCCCCCCGCCGGCCGUGGGCUGACUGUGACGUCAGAGUGGUGCGGGGGGCUCACGGGCGGCGGCGGAGGGGCGCUAUGACGUCACGGCGGCAGAGAGCCAAUCGGGCGGCGGGGGCGGCUCGGGAGCGGCUCGUGCCGCCCGGGGCCCGGGGCCGGCGCGUCCAACAGGUCCCGGCGGGAAGGGCAGCGGGGAGCGGGGAGCGCCCUCGGGCCCUGAGGGCUCUCCGCCCGGCCAUGGCAGCGGGGGGCCCUGUGAAAAACAAUAUGGGACCGUGUAAUUAAAGACUCUCAUAAGGAGGGAUGCUCAGCAGAGGAAGAAAAGUUCUGUCCAUGCUCUCCAGACACUUCUUUACCUUCCCGAGGUCCUGACGGGGCAGAUGUUCGUAUGGCCAACGGGAAGAAACCAGUUUGUUUCUUUCCCUCUCUCACGUAUUCCCUCGUGAUGGAAGAUGACCUUUUAAUUUUUUCCCCCUUGCUCAAAUCUUUACUUCUCUGAAGGACCAAACCCUUGCCUAUGUGUUUUAACACUUUGGAAAAAAACCCAAACCCUAUGAAAACCAGCACAACUGUCAGGGGUAGGAGCUGGCCAGUAUCAUUCUGGGCUGCAGAUGUACUGAGUCCCAGCAUCAUCCUCAUCCUCCUGGAGCAUCUGCGGGUUUGUCAGGAGUGAAGACAUUACCAUUGACCUUACCACUGAGCACUGAUGAAAUUGCUGCUGGACACAUAAGCAAGUGACUGGAUGAAGCUGCUGCUCUGAGAUUCCAACACAGAACUGGUGUGAACACACUCACUUUCUGUUCUGAGGCAUGAUCACGUUACAAACUGGUGUUAGCUUUUGAGGGUGCUUUUGGCAAAAUUCUUAUAGGCUAGAGUGGAAAAAAAUUCUUGGUCCUAUAUGCUAUAUAUUAUUAUGCCCUAUAUUGGGCAUAAUAAUAUAUAGCAAGCAGCUUCUGCUGGAGGACAGUGAUUUUAUAUGAGCUAAUGCUAAUCACAGUAGGGUGAACAAAGUAUAAACUGCAUUAUUUUGCAUUAGUAACUGGAUGCCUUGCUCCUUGUCUGUUCCUACUAUGGUGUGUUUUUGUUGACUUGCUGUACAGAUCACAACAUCUAAUCCUUCAAAACAAUGUGUGGUUUUCCAAAGAAUCAUAAAUCCAUCCUUGUCAAUUGCAGUCUGACAACAAUUUUAUUCUUAAUCUCAGAGCUAGUGGGACUGGGAUUUGGACCUGUCAUAUUACUCAGUAUAAGGGAGCUGGUAGGAGUACAACAUUCUAAUUCCAUGAAGAGUAUUAGGUGUUUUGAUUUAGAGAAUCAGUUAAGGGCAGCAGUUGCAAUCCCUCUUCAGGCUCCAUGCUGCCUAUGCCAUUCUCUUCAAUCACAACCAGUGUAAACUGUUUGAGAUAAUCCUGUUGUUGAGAAAAAACACUGUCUUACUGCUUAGAGCAAACAGUGAAUCAUGUUUUAAAAAAAGAGAUGAGGGAAAGUAUUUUUGUAAAUGCUCUGGUUUGUCUGAAAACAUGUAAUGAAUCUGAAUGGUUGUCAUUACGUGUUGGAAUUUUUUAAGUAUUAAAUCUAUUCAAA